GAGUUUGAUCCUGGCUCAGAUUGAACGCUGGCGGGAUGCUUUACACAUGCAAGUCGAACGGCAGCACGACUCCCGGUCUGGUGGCGAGUGCGACAAGAGAGUAAUGUAUCGGAACGUGCCGUAUAGCGGGGGAUAACUACGCGAAAGCGCCAUACCGCAUACCGCCCUUCGGGGAAAGCGGGGACCUUCGGGCCUCGCACUAUUAGAGCGGCCGAUAUCGGAUUAGCUAGUUGGUGGGGUAACGGCUCACCAAGGCGACGAUCCGUAGCUGGUUUGAGACGACCAGCCACAUUCGGGACUGAGACACGGCUCAGACUACGGGAGGCAGCAGUGGGGAAUUUUGGACAAUGGGGAAACUCCCUGAUCCAGCCAUCUCAUGUGUGUGAUGAAGGCCUGGGUUGUAGCACUUUUGGCAGGAAAGAAACGGCACGGGAUAAUACCCCGUGCAACUGACGGUACCUGCAGAAUAAGCACCGGCUAACUACGUGCCAGCAGCCGCGGUAAUACGUAGGGUGCAAGCGUUAAUCGGAAUUACUGGGCGUAAAGCGUGCGCAGGCGGUUCAGAAAGAAAGAUGUGAAAUCCCGUUUCUUAACUUUGGAACUGCAUUUUUAACUACCGAGCUUAGAGUGUGUCAGAGGGAGGUGGAAUUCCGCGUGUAGCAGUGAAAUGCGUAGAUAUGCGGAGGAACACCGAUGGCGAAGGCAGCUCCUGGGAUAACACUGACGCUCAUGCACGAAAGCGUGGGGAGCAAAACAGGAUUAGAUACCCUGGUAGUCCACGCCCCAAACGAUGUCAACUAGCUGUUGGGGCCUUCGGGCCUUGGUAGCGCAGCUGUGUUGACCGCCUGGGGAGUACGGUCGCAAGAUUAAAAACUCAAAGGAAUUGACGGGGACCCGCACAAGCGGUGGAUGAUGUGGAUUAAUUCGAUGCAACGCGAAAAACCUUACCUACCCUGAUGAUGUCUGGAAUCCCGAAGAGACUUGGGAAAGUCGCAAGAGAACCGGAACACAGGUGCUAUGAAGGGCUGUCGUCAGCUCGUGUCGAGAUGUUGGGUUAAGUCCCGCAACGAGCGCAACCCUUGCCAUUAGUUGCUACGAAAGGGCACUCUAUCGAGACUGCCGGUGACAAACCGGAGCGCGGAUGAACAAGUCCUCAUGGCCUUUAUGGGUAGGGCUUCACACGUCAUACAAUGGUCGGGACAGAGGGCUGCCAACCCGCAGGGGGAGCCAAUCCCAGAAACCCGAUCGUAACCGAUCGCAGUCUGCAAGUCGACUGCGUGAAGUCGGAAUCGCUAGUAAUCGCGGAUCAGCAUGUCGCGGUGAAUACGUUCCCGGGUCUUGCACACAACGCCCAGCCAUUACGGGGAGUGGGUUUACCAGAAGUAGUUAGCCUAACUGUAAGGAGGGCGAUUACCACGGUAGGAUUCAUGACUGGGGUGAAGUCGUAACAGUAGCUUCUGAAGAUACCUUAUUCUGUGUGGUUGGGCCACGUAACUGAACGAAGCAUGAUU
rnacentral:rRNA from 1 species